GGGGAUUUAGCUCAGCGGUAGAGCGCUUGCCUAGCAAGCACAAGGCCCUGGGUUCGGUCCCUAGCUCCG
rnacentral:tRNA from 1 species